CCCAGCACCGAAGCCUGCGGCAGUUUUGCUGUUAGGCAAUGUGGUGUUUGGGUCGGCUAGCGGGAUUGCCACUCCACUCGAAGUCCAGCAUUGAGUAUGGUCACUGGAUUUGGCCCAGAGAGGGUGAAAGGCCCGUACGGGUGGAGGUUCAAACAUGUAAGGCAAUUCACCAGGCCGGCCUUAGAGUCGGGUUGUUUGUGAAUGCAGCCCAAAGCGGGUGGUAAACUCCAUCCAAGGCUAAAUACUAGCACGAGUCCGAUAGCGAACAAGUACCGUGAGGGAAAGUUGAAAAGUACUUUGAAGAGAGAGUAAACAGUACGUGAAACCGCAUGCAGGUAAACGGGUGGCGUCAAGCUGCGAGCCCAGAGGAUUCAGCUGGCUAGGGUGUUGUGUAUGCGCCUGGCGCAUCAGUCAGUCAGAGUAGGAUUGUGUAGUCCACUGGAUAACGGUGGGCCUGGCCGCAAGGUUGGGACAUGUGUACCGGAUGGUAGCCGGAGCAUACUGCACGUCUAUGGACUGUCUAGCCAGUGCACUUUCUCUGUGGUGAACACCACGACCGGUGGUAUUGCCAGUCUGCUGUAGUCAAGUCGUGUUCAGUAGGUUCUUGUAAUCAAUUGGAUGCGAUCACAGGCAAACUCAGUAAACGGCGUAGGGACGUUUUGGCGACUCUGCGUGUUAUCGGCUACUGGUUGUCAACGGGCCGGCCUGAUGAUUGUUGUAAUCGUCAUCGGGUGGUUCGGUGGGCUAUGGUGGUAUGAAUAACUGUGCAAGGCGCCGGUGUUCUCGACCUCAAAUGCAUCCUGCGCGCACAUUACAAGUGGAGUGGGGUGCCGUUGCGUCCUGCCUAUUGUUAGGUCUGAUUGUCGUGUCGCCUGCGCAAAGUGGGCCCGGCAGUGGCCUGAUAUGGGAUGGGGCGUGGAUGGUGCUUCCAGUGCGGGGUGUGGUGGGUGAAACAGUCAGUGGUGCAGUGGUAGACGAGCUACCCGACCCGUCUUGAAACACGGACCAAGGAGUUUAACAUGUAUGCGAGUCAAAGGGCGUUACGAAACCCAAAGGCGCAAUGAAAGUAAAGCUUCGACUUGUUCUCGGAGUGAGGUGAGAUCCUGCUGUUACUCGCAUCAGCCUCUUGUCAGCAUCAGGCUAAGAGCGGUAGGCGCAUCACCGGCCCGUCCCAUGAUGUGGCCAUUGGA
rnacentral:rRNA from 1 species